UGGUGGCGACCGGCGCACGGGUGAGUAACGCGUAUGCAACCCACCUAUCAGAGGGGAAUAACCCGGCGAAAGUCGGACUAAUACCGCAUAAAACAGGGACACCGCAUGGUGAUAUUUGUUAAAGAAAUUCGCUGAUAGAUGGGCAUGCGUUCCAUUAGGUAGUUGGUGAGGUAACGGCUCACCAAGCCGACGAUGGAUAGGGGAACUGAGAGGUUGGUCCCCCACACUGGUACUGAGACACGGACCAGACUCCUACGGGAGGCAGCAGUGAGGAAUAUUGGUCAAUGGGCGAGAGCCUGAACCAGCCAAGUCGCGUGAAGGAAGAAGGAUCUAUGGUUCGUAAACUUCUUUUGCAGGGGAAUAAAGUGCAGGACGUGUCCUGUUUUGUAUGUACCCUGAGAAUAAGGAUCGGCUAACUCCGUGCCAGCAGCCGCGGUAAUACGGAGGAUCCGAGCGUUAUCCGGAUUUAUUGGGUUUAAAGGGUGCGUAGGUGGUUUGAUAAGUCAGCGGUGAAAGUUUGCAGCUUAACUGUAAAAAUGCCGUUGAAACUGUCGGACUUGAGUGUAAAUGAGGUAGGCGGAAUGCGUGGUGUAGCGGUGAAAUGCUUAGAUAUCACGAAGAACUCCGAUUG
rnacentral:rRNA from 1 species